AUUGAACGCUGGCGGCAUGCCUUACACAUGCAAGUCGAACGGCAGCACGGGAGCAAUCCUGGUGGCGAGUGGCGAACGGGUGAGUAAUAUAUCGGAACGUGCCCAGUCGUGGGGGAUAACGCAGCGAAAGCUGUGCUAAUACCGCAUACGAGCUAAGGAUGAAAGCGGGGGAUCGCAAGACCUCGCGCGAUUGGAGCGGCCGAUAUCAGAUUAGCUAGUUGGUGGGGUAAAGGCCCACCAAGGCGACGAUCUGUAGCUGGUCUGAGAGGACGACCAGCCACACUGGAACUGAGACACGGUCCAGACUCCUACGGGAGGCAGCAGUGGGGAAUUUUGGACAAUGGGCGCAAGCCUGAUCCAGCAAUGCCGCGUGCAGGACGAAGGCCUUCGGGUUGUAAACUGCUUUUGUACGGAACGAAACAGCCCUUUCUAAUACAGGGGGCUAAUGACGGUACCGUAAGAAUAAGCACCGGCUAACUACGUGCCAGCCGCCGCGGUAAUAC
rnacentral:rRNA from 1 species